UGCGACAGGAACGUAGAGGUUCUUAUUUUGCGUACAAAAACAAAAAUUUGCAGGCACGGAUGCCUGCAAAAGAUGCUGCUGAGUCAGGAAGACGAAUCAGCGUCGGUUUCGUCCGUUGUCAUUACCUGAAUCGCAAAAUAUAGAACCUCUUGUUCCUGUUCGC
rfam:Clostridiales bacterium 41_12_two_minus Ley3_66761_scaffold_4006, whole genome shotgun sequence.